rnacentral:rRNA from 1 species
GACGAACGCUGGCGGCGUGCUUAACACAUGCAAGUCGAACGGAAAGGCCCUGCUUUUGUGGGGUGCUCGAGUGGCGAACGGGUGAGUAACACGUGAGUAACCUGCCCUUGACUUUGGGAUAACUUCAGGAAACUGGGGCUAAUACCGGGUAGGAGCUCCUGCUGCAUGGUGGGGGUUGGAAAGUUUCGGCGGUUGGGGAUGGACUCGCGGCUUAUCAGCUUGUUGGUGGGGUAGUGGCUUACCAAGGCUUUGACGGGUAGCCGGCCUGAGAGCGGGACCGGCCACAUUGGGACUGAGAGACGGCCCAGACUCCUACGGGAGGCAGCAGUGGGGAAUAUUGCACAAUGGGCGGAAGCCUGAUGCAGCAACGCCGCGUGCGGGAUGACGGCCUUCGGGUUGUAAACCGCUUUCGCCUGUGACGAAGCGUGAGUGACGGUAAUGGGUAAAGAAGCACCGGCUAACUACGUG